GGCCAUAACUGAGUGGUAGAGCAUUUGCUUUGCGUUCAGAAGGUUCUAGGUUCAAUCCCUGACAUCUCCA